AUUGAACGCUGGCGGCAGGCCUAACACAUGCAAGUCGAGCGGAUGAAGGGAGCUUGCUCCUGGAUUCAGCGGCGGACGGGUGAGUAAUGCCUAGGAAUCUGCCUGGUAGUGGGGGAUAACGUCCGGAACCGGGCGCUAAUACCGCAUACGUCCUGAGGGAGAAAGUGGGGGAUCUUCGGACCUCACGCUAUCAGAUGAGCCUAGGUCGGAUUAGCUAGUUGGUGGGGUAAAGGCCUACCAAGGCGACGAUCCGUAACUGGUCUGAGAGGAUGAUCAGUCACACUGGAACUGAGACACGGUCCAGACUCCUACGGGAGGCAGCAGUGGGGAAUAUUGGACAAUGGGCGAAAGCCUGAUCCAGCCAUGCCGCGUGUGUGAAGAAGGUCUUCGGAUUGUAAAGCACUUUAAGUUGGGAGGAAGGGCAGUAAGUUAAUACCUUGCUGUUUUGACGUUACCAACAGAAUAAGCACCGGCUAACUUCGU
rnacentral:rRNA from 1 species